rnacentral:lncRNA from 1 species
CCCAAGGACACAGAGUAUUACCUUCCACUUUCGUUUCCUGGGAGAAUCUACUGAUGCUGGGAAACUUAAGGUAAACGUGAUCUAACAUUAAGGUUCUUCUCUAGGUCAUCAGUGUGAGGUGAAAUACGACUCCUCUCCUCUACUCCAACAACCUUCACAGGACGAAGAGAGGGAUGUGUGUUAGGUGACUGAGCGAGGGACGGACUCUCCUUUGAUGAUCGUUACAGAACUACCCACCACAACUGGAUCAAGCAGCGUGCUCGGGAGGAGAUGGACACCUGGUCUCAUCAGGAGUGGAUUGGGAGGAAAGACUAGACAUGGGGCCAGGUGAUCGAAAGAUAUCGGAGCCUACCCGGGAAGAACGAGAGGCAGCCCCAAAAAUUUUUUUUGGGGGGGGCACAUGGGUAGUUCGGCUGGACCAGGGGUGAGGCCUGAGUCAACUACCCAUGCUUUUCAGGUGCCUGCCUCUCGCACUUUCUCUCCAGUACGUCCUGUUCCUGCUCACCGCACUAGCCUGAAGGUGUGUGUUACUAGUCUGGCGUCUCCAAAGCCAGUCCCACGCAUCAGGCCUAAAGUGCGCAUUCCCCGUCCAGAGCUUCCGGCGACAGUUCCCCGUCCUGAGCUUCCGGCGACAGUUCCCCGUCCUGAGCUUCCGGCGACAGUUCCCCGUCCUGAGCUUCCGGCGACAGUUCCCCGUCCUGAGCUUCCGGCGACAGUUUACAGUCCGGAGCCGACAGAGACGGCCGACAGUCCGGAGCCGACAGAGACGCUCCUCAGCCCGGAGCCUCCAGUGGGUCUCUCCAGCCUGGUCUGUCCUGUGCCUCCUCCCAGGACCAGGCCUCCUGUGGGUCUCCCCAGCCUGGUGAGUCCUGUUCCUGCGCCCAGAGCCAGGCCUCCUUCAUGUCUCCUCAGCCUGGUGAAUCCUGGGCCAGAGCUGCCAGAGCCGCCCGCCUGUCCGGAGCUGCCAGAGCCGCCCGCCUGUCCGGAGCUGCCAGAGCCGCCCGCCUGUCCGGAGUUGCCAGGGUCGGUCGCCAGCCGGGCACAGCCAGGGUCUCCCACCAGUCCUCCGGCGCAGCCAGGGGCGCCACCUAAGUGGGUGAAACCGAGGGUAGAGCAGAGGCCACGUCCCGCACCUGAGCCACCGCCGUAGGAAGGCCCACCCGGACCCUCCCCUUCAGAGUCAGAUGAUCGUUACAACUAUGUACAGACUCAGUGAUCAUAGCCUUGCUAUUGAGAAAGGCCGCCGUAGGCAGACCUGGCUCUCAAGAGAAGACAGGCUAUGUGCACACUGCCCACAAAUGAGGUGGAAACUGAACUGCACUUCCUAACCUCCUGCCAAAUGUGGGAGAGCAGAGAACCGCACGGGAACUGACCUUUAUGUAAUCAGAGUCAUAGAACAGGCCUAUAGAAGAGGUGAAGACAGGUCAGCGUCAACAAGGAUACAAUGAGGUGACAUAGCAAAUUGAAACAGGUGUGUUGAUUUAGAAACAUAAAACAGGUUUGUGCUCAAACAGGAAAACAGCUGCUACCAAAAGGCAAAAAUAAGACAUUCAUUUUCAAAAGUCACAAGUAAAAUAUGGUGAUUUUUCAUCAAACAGAUAUACUUUUAUAUUUAGGCUUUUGUCUAGGAUGUGCAUAUGUUGAAUGGGCUGAUGUCUCCUGCUUCUCCCAAACAAACAACCCAUUCAGAGCCACAAUCCCCAUUUAAACACAAUGACCAGGAAGUGCAACAUCACAAAACCUCUACACAUCAUUACAGGUGUGUGUGUAGGUUACUGUCUAUUUAUUUAUUUAACCAGGUAGGCUAGUUGACAACAAGUUCUCAUUUACAAUUGCGACCUGGCCAAGAUAAAGCAAAGCAGUUCGACAACAUACAACAACACAGAGUUACACAUGGAGUAAAACAAACAUACAGUCAAUAAUACAGUAGAAAAAUAAGUCUAUAUACAAAGUGAGCAAAUGAGGUGAGAUAAGGGAGGUAAAGGCAAAAAAGGCCAUGGUGGCAAAGUAAAUACAAUAUAGCAAGUAAAACACUGGAAUGGUAGAUUUGUAGUAGAAGAAAGUGCAAAGUAGAAAUAAAUAAUGGGGUGCAAAGGAGCAAAAUAAAAUAAAUAAAUACAGAAGGGGAAGAGGUAGUAGUUUGGGCUAAAUUAUAGAUGGGCUAUGUACAGGUGCAGUGAUCUGUGAGCUGCUCUGACAGCUGGUGCUUAAUGCUAGUGAGGGAGAUAAGUGUUUCCAGUUUCAGAGAUUUUUGUAGUUCGUUCCAGUCAUUGGCAGCAGAGAACUGGAAGGAGAGACGGCUAAAGGAGGAAUUGGCUUUGGGGGUGACCAGAGAGAUAUACCUGCUGGAGCGCGUGCUACAGGGUUGUGCUAAUGACACCAGUUUGUGUCUGUGAAUCUGCCCGGGAGUCACGCGGGGAACGGAGAGUCUCUGGAGUCUAAACUAAACUGAUAGACCGGAGGAGGAGGUGUCCCACUGUCUGAGUGAGUCUCUCGCUCUGAGAGAGAGAGAGAGAGAGAGAGAGAGAGAGAGAGAGAGAGAGAUCUGCGAUAGCGUUUAAGCACCAUGGACAGCAACCGGGAGCCAUUCUCGUUAACAACCAACCAGCGGGAAGUUUAGAGCAGCUCGCUCUCCUCUAAGUGUUGACCGGAGGAGCUCCCAUUUUCAGAGACGACUCACUUUUGGAUUUGGAAAUAAUGAUCUAGUCUUUGUUCAUGCAGGUUAGUGUCUGAUAAAAAAUAGCUAAAUAAAUAUAUAGAAAAUCUACUCGACAUCAUUCCCUGAUCUCCUGUCCAAAACUUUCCUCAGCACUGGGAUAUGGACUAACAUCACGCCAUCCGCCACGGGCCGACAGGCGGACACCGGCUCCUCCAGGCUCGGGUUGCUAGUUGGCACAAAAACAUGACAUUUUCUGAAAUGGGAUGAAACAGGACUUAUCCAUUUCAGUUCAUCUUUAUUUAAUCAGAGUAGUGACUGUUUUCCAGGGAGUAGCCUAAGAAAGGCUUGUUUUCGUUUGCUGCCGACCCUCCUGACUGAGGCCGACCUCGGAGGACAGACCGGCUGGUCUCCAGGAGGAUGCCCGGGCAGGAUGUGCUCCAGCCGGAAGAUCCUGUGGAGCCUGCUGCUGCUGUCAGUGUUGGAGGUGGGUCUGGGAGUGACCAGUAUCGUCCUGGGAGCCGUGGGGCUCAGCCGGGUCAGGGAGGAACACAAGCUGCAGCAAGGAGACGCUUCUCCUGUCUGGAGCGGCAUGUGUUUUCUAAUCUGUGGGAUGUGUGGAGUGCUCUGUGCCAGGAAGAGGACUGGACUCAUCAUGAUUCUGUUCUCAGCUUGCUGUAUCUGUGGUCUGAUUGGAGGGAUUCUCAACUUCCAGUUCGUUAGGGCGUUGUCACGACGACCGGACUCUCUUCGUUCCCUACACCUAGCAGCCAUGACUAUUGCCUGCCUGGGUUUGCAACACUAUGAAACGCUACAAAACACUUUGAAACAUAGUUAAACAUUAUAUUACAUGACACUAAAAUCAACUCAUUCCAACUCCAGGUAGUUGAGCUGGGCGACGCUGACCCAAUACCUCAUCUAACCUGCAUGAAAACGUCUGUCUGUAUAUGAAAGGUAACGUUCAGAUUCUGGCACCAUUCAAUUAGUCAUCUCCCUCUCUCCCGUAGGUAUCUCUUCCUGUACCCUCUCCACCUGGUUGACCUGUCGUCUGGCCAGUUCAGAACAGCAGAGGAUGUUUCUGGAGAGAGAACACUCACUGCACCACUCACACGAGAUGGCUGAGAAGGAUUCAUACACACACGGAUCUUUUGAGAUCCUUGACAACUCCAGCAAUGGGAUUCCCCAGAUCUCCUACAAUGCUAACACCACAUCUCCUUGACAAUGGAACCACCUUGUUGCCCUGACAACUGGCACAUCUUGUAACCCUGACAAUGGAACCACCUUGUUGCCCUGACAAUGGACACAACUUGCUGCCCUGAUGAUGUACACACCUUGUUGCCCUGACAACGGAGUGAUGUCGUAACAGAGCUGAGCAGCAUUAUUGCAGAGCUGUUUGUAGAGAACUUCAGCACAGAUGGAAGAAGUUUCCCAAAAUAAAACAACAAUGAACGCUAUUCUUGAACAAGUUGUUCCGAGGUCUGAUAGUCCUAACACACAGAGCCCCAUGACAUAUGCCCUCACAGACAGGAGGGACAGACAGCCAAUCAGACGCUUCAAACUAAUUAUCACAAAACACGCAUGCAAUUUAUUUUAAAUCUCUCUCUCCCAUUCCUCCCUCUCCCUCAUUCCUCUCUCUCAUUCCUAUCUCCCUCUCCCAUUCCUCUCUCUCUCUCCCAUUCCUCUCUCUCUCCCUCCCUCCCUCCCUCCCUCCCUCCCCCUGGUUCUGGCUAUAUGAAUGUAGGUGUAUGAAGGAACAGUGCUUUAGCGAUCUAAUACAGAGCAGAAUAUGGAAUUAUUUAAAGUAUCAGACAGACGACCAACGAUGCACACUGUAGAGCUGCUGUGGGUAACCCUCCUCCUGUAGAGCUGCUGUGGGUAACCCUCCUCCUGUAGAGCUGCUGUGGGUAACCCUCCUCCUGUAGAGCUGUUGUGGGUAACCCUCCUCCUGUAGAGCUGCUGUGGGUAACCCUCAUCCUGUAGAGUUGCUGUGGGUAACCCUCAUCCUGUAGAGCUGUUGUGGGUAACCCUCAUCCUGUAGAGCUGUUGUGGGUAACCCUCCUCCUGUUGAGCUGUUGUGGGUAACCCUCCUCCUGUAGAGCUACUGUGGGUAACCCUCCUCCUGUAGAGCUGCUGUGGGUAACCCUCAUCCUGUAGAGCUGUUGUGGGUAACCCUCAUCCUGUAGAGCUGUCCUCCUGUAGAGCUGUUGUGGGUAACCCUCCUCCUGUAGAGCUGUUGUGGGCAACUGUCCUCCUGUAGAGCUGUUGUGGGUAACCCUCCUUCUGUAGAGCUGUUGUGGGUAACCCUCCUCCUGUAGAGGUGCUGUGGGUAACCCUCCUCCUGUAGAGCUGCUGUGGGUAACCGUCCUCCUGUAGAGCUGCUGUGGGUAACCCUCCUCCUGUAGAGCUGCUGUUGGUAACCCUCCUCCUGUAGAGCUGCUGUUGGUAACCCUCCUCCUGUAGAGCUGCUGUUGGUAACCCUCCUCCUGUAGAGCUGCUGUGGGUAACCCUCAUCCUGUAGAGCUGUCCUCCUGUAGAGCUGCUGUGGGUAACCGUCCUCCUGUAGAGCUGUUGUGGGUAACCCUCAUCCUGUAGAGCUGUCCUCCUGUAGAGCUGUUGUGGGUAACCCUCCUCCUGUAGAGCUGUUGUGGGUAACCCUCCUCCUGUAGAGCUGUUGUGGGUAACCCUCCUCCUGUAGAGCUGUUGUGGGUAACCCUCAUCCUGUAGCGCGCCUGUGGGUAACCCUCCUCCUGUUGGUAACCCUCCUCCUGUAGAGCUGUUGUGGGUAACCCUCCUCCUGUAGAGCUGCUGUGGGUAACCCUCCUCCUGUAGAGCUGUUGUGGGUAACCCUCCUCCUGUAGAGCUGCUGUGGGUAACCCUCAUCCUGUAGAGUUGCUGUGGGUAACCCUCCUCCUGUAGAGCUGUUGUGGGUAACCCUCCUCCUGUAGAGCUGCUGUGGGUAACUGUCCUCCUGUAGAGCUGUUGUGGGUAACCCUCCUCCUGUAGAGCUGCUUUUCUCCAGCAGUGUUCUACCCAGAUCCUGAAGCAGAAGUCUACACACCCAGUAACUCUCCAGGAGGUCAGUUAGCUUCCACCCCUGCUGUAUAUUCAUGCUUGUACUGUAUAUCAGGAAAACAAUCAUUAUGGAGUUACAAUAUUUUUCUAUAGGCUUCUUAUAAAACAAAAAUAAAACUAUGGAAAUGCUUAGUUAA